AUUAAUACCGGAUGGCAUACGAAUAUCGCAUGAUAUUUUUAUUAAAGAAUUUCGGUUAUCGAUGGGGAUGCGUUCCAUUAGUUUGUUGGCGGGGUAACGGCCCACCAAGACUACGAUGGAUAGGGGUUCUGAGAGGAAGGUCCCCCACAUUGGAACUGAGACACGGUCCAAACUCCUACGGGAGGCAGCAGUGAGGAAUAUUGGUCAAUGGGCGAGAGCCUGAACCAGCCAAGUAGCGUGAAGGAUGAAGGCUCUAUGGGUCGUAAACUUCUUUUAUAUGGGAAUAAAGUAUUCCACGUGUGGAAUUUUGUAUGUACCAUAUGAAUAAGGAUCGGCUAACUCCGUGCCAGCAGCCGCGGUAAUACGGAGGAUCCGAGCGUUAUCCGGAUUUAUUGGGUUUAAAGGGAGCGUAGGUGGAUUGUUAAGUCAGUUGUGGAAGUUUGCGGCUCAACCGUAAAAUUGCAGUUGAAACUGGCAGUCUUGAGUACAGUAGAGGUGGGCGGAAUUCGUGGUGUAGCGGUGAAAUGCUUAGAUAUCACGAAGAACUCCGAUUGCGAAGGCAGCUCACUAGACUGUUACUGACACUGAUGCUCGAAAGUGUGGGUAUCAAACAGGAUUAGAUACCCUGGUAGUCCACACAGUAAACGAUGAAUACUCGCUGUUUGCGAUAUACAGUAAGCGGCCAAGCGAAAGCAUUAAGUAUUCCACCUGGGGAGUA
rnacentral:rRNA from 1 species